GGCAGCUUCCUUAAAGCCGCAGCCGCGGCGGGAGCUUGGGGUGCCGGGCGGUGGCUACAUCAGGCGGCCUCCGCACGCUGCCCCCACCCCCAUCGCUCGGCCGCCCCAAACUUGCUUACGUCCACCCUGCUCUCCUUCUGACCGACCCCAGGAUAUCUGGAGAGAUGUGAAAAGUGUGCUGACGCGGAAGAAGUCGGUUUUUCCGCGAGCAAAGUGUCGUCCCCUCACGCUCUCCACCUGCAGCUCCAGAGUUACCUCUCAGCAGAGCAGCAGCAGCCUUCGCUGCCAGCGAGCAAGACGAUCACGUUCACUCGAUUUGAAUUUAGUUGUUUUAACCGUGCUGGAAAAACCCUUUAAACACAGCUUUCCUCCCAUCCCUUAGACCCCUAACACCAAAAAAAAAAAAAAAAAAAAAAAAAAAAAAAAGAGAGAGAGAGAAAGAUAAAUGAAAGAAGUGGCAGGGUCAAGAGCUGCUCCUCUACUUCCUUAUAAUUUUGUCACUGUACUUACUACUUUAGUAUUGGAUUUUUCCACUAGUUCAAUUUGAAAGCAAGCUUACCAUCGAGGAUAUUCACGUUAUAAUGGGUGGAGGGGGUGGGUCACAUAAGUGGGAGAAACAGACAGGAGGGGGGAAGGAACCAAACUGUUUUCUAAGGAUCGGUUGUCUGCAUGAAGAAAUUUCGGUUUCCCUCCAACCGCCCCCUCCUCGAUUCUCCUCCCGCCCACCCAAAUGCUGCAGUUACUAAGCAAAAGGAUGGGGUUCCUAACUUUGAUUUCUAAGGACUUUUA
rnacentral:lncRNA from 1 species